UUGACCUCAAAUCAGGUAGGACUACCCGCUGAACUUAAGCAUAUCAAUAAGCGGAGGAAAAGAAACUAACAAGGAUUCCCCUAGUAACUGCGAGUGAACCGGGAAAAGCUCAAAUUUUGAAUCUGGCGGUCUUUAGGCCGUCCGAGUUGUA
rnacentral:rRNA from 1 species